AAAACUAAAAAAAAACUAAAAAUCUAAAAUAAAAGUCAAGUAAUCCAUUCAUGAAAAUCAAUACUCUCUACAUUUAUGUACAAAUUUUUUUUAUUUAGUAAAGAAUGUACUACGUUAGUAUAUGUGGCGACAAAAUUUUGGUUUUAAACAGAUAAAGUUAUUUGGUUUUGAAUCUUUCAGUUUUGUUUAAUUAUAAAAGCCUGAUGAUUUUUGGAGCGUUACCAUGUAAAUACUAUCGUGGUUUUUAUAUUAUUAAAUUAUACAAAGUUCUGUAAAACCAUAUUGUUUGCUGAAAGCUUAAUGUUGAUUGUAUUUUCAAUGUUUAACAUUAUACAAAAAGAUUACAGCAAAAAUUAAUAUUAGAAAAGAUUAGUUUAUUAAAUUAAAAAGGAAAAAAAAUGAAUUCAACUACGGAACUAACUCAGGACUUAAAUUUAAACACCAAUAAUCAAAAAUGUGAAGAAAAUCUUAAUUAUCCGAGUAGAUGGUAUUAUAUAGAUAAAGGAAUGAUUCCAGCAAAACUCACUUGCUUUUUUUCAGGAUUAGAAAGAUCAUCAAUUUCACCUUAUCUUACCAUGUUCUUUAUAAGUAUUGGUUUAAACCUAAAACAAGCUGGUUACGUGUUUUCUUUUUCUUACGCUGGUUUAAUGUUAGGGAGCGUUUUUUGGGGAGUAAUAGCCGACAAAACUCGUGCUUAUCGAGUUCUUUUAUCAAUUUUAUACACUUUUUUUGCUUUAAUUACAUUAUCCAUUCCGUUGAUAAGUGCACAAAUUGGAGAAAAAGAAAAAAACCAAUGUCCUUCAUUAUUAAGCAAUUGUUGUUUUAACGGCACAAUGAACUUUUCUACAAAUAAGACAUCCAAGAAUAAUACUUCAGUAUCCUCAGCAACUAUGACGAUUGUGAUAGCAACCUUGGGAUUUUUGGUUUUUUCAUUUAGUGGAAGUACUUAUAGCUACAUUGAAGCAGGAGUCAUUUGGAAAAUUAAAAUGUCGACAAAAAAAAGAGAUUAUGGUAGACAGUAUAUGUUUUUAAAUAUUGGUUUUGCAUUUGGAGCUUUAAUUUCAGGACAAGUGAUGAAUAUAUUCCCAAAAGUAGAUCUUUCAUGUUAUUUUGCUGUAUUUUGCGUUAAUAUUGUGUUUAUUAUAGCAUCAUGCAUCUGUUCUCAAUUAUUAUACAAAAACAUAAACAUAUCAUCGCAAAAAGAAGCUAGAUCCGAUUCGUUUCAAAAAGACCUUUUCAAAACAUUGUCAAACUUUGAAAUUGAUCUUUUUUUAAUAACGACAUUUGUAAACGGUUUAUUAUAUUCCAUAUACUUAAACUACUUUUUUUUGUUUAUGAAAGAAAUAAAAGCUACGAACCUUUUGGUUGGUUUAACAGUAGCGUUUGGGUCAGUCUCUGGUAUGAUUGUAAAUUUUUUCAUUGCAGUAAUUAUAAAAUUAUUUAGAGGAACAUUUAACACCAUGAUUAUAUGCACAUUUCUUUGGUCGGUUCGUUAUUUCAUAUUCUACUUCUUGAAAAAUCCUUGGUUAAUUAUACCUUUACAACUUACUCUCCAUGGAUUAAGUCUGUCUUUAUUUUUAAGUGUAAAGUCAAUUCAUUUAAAAAAAAAAGCUCCAAACAGUGUCCGAAAUACGAUGUUUGGUAUCGUUCAAUGUUUACAUGGUGGCGUAUCAAUGAUUGUUGGAAGUUUUAUUGGAGGUCAAUUGUAUUUUGCGUAUGGUGCUCGUCUAACAUUUUUGUAUUCUUGCUUUUUUGCACUUGGGUGGACAUCACUUUUAUGUGUUUACAGAAUUGCAAUAAAAAUAUGGAAAAUAAAAGCUGGUGGCCAAACUUGACAUGCCAGGAACAAUGAAUAAAACAAUGGUCACUUUAUUGAUAGAGGUGAAAACAUUCAUUAAAGAUUUACAGCGUCAACCUGAACUCAACACCCGGCUUCUUCAAACACUGCUGGAUUAUAAAAACAAUUAUGAUGACAGUAUGAUUGAGGAAUACAAUCUUCUUGGUAACAUGAAAAAUUUAGAUGUGUUUGAUAGUUUGUUACAGCGAGACAAGUCGAUUUUCAACAAAUUGCGAUUAUUCUUGCUAGCAAAGGUGGCCAGUCACUGAGAGAAAUUGUAAAAAGGGCCAUUAACUUAUUAUUAACAAAGAUCUACAACGAAAGUUUAACUGGAGUGGUAGUUGGGCCGGCUGGAGUUGAAAAAAACAUUUUAUCUAAAAAGGCUUUUUGCAAACUUAGUUGUUUUUAGCGCUGCAGAGAAAAAUCAGUAAACAUUUACCAACAAGAUCAGUAACCGAAAGCGAGUUUCAAGUUGAAGUCGUGCGUUUUUAACGAGGAGCUGCAGGCAGGAAUGGGGGGGGGGGGGGAGAAAAAUUAAAGGCGUAAAUAGGAAUACGCUUGAAAGAGAUUCUUCUUCAAGUUAAAAAUAUAAUUCUCAAGUAAUGAGAAGUUUAAAUAAGAAUUACAUGUAUCUAAUUAUAUUUUUGAUAUCUAAUAGUUUAUGAA
rnacentral:misc_RNA from 1 species